GGAUGUGAGUGUGAUCUGGCUGUGACAUCUGUCACCCCAGUGAUUGCCAUGGUUGAUUCGGCUCAUCUGGCUGGCUAGGCGGUGUCCCCUUCCUCCCUCACCCCUGCAUGUGCAUCCCUCCCAAAGCUGUACGCUCACUUGAAGAGGAUGACCAUCCCCAAUAGAGGAGGAUGUCUUCGGUCAAGGGUAUACGAGUAGCUGCGCUCCCCUGCUAGAAUCUCCAAACAAGCUCUCAAGGUCCAGAGACAUGAUGUGAACUUCAGGUCUCAGUUGAUGAUCAUGUGGUUGUGUGGUGGUGCAG
ensembl:misc_RNA 7SK 7SK RNA